rnacentral:rRNA from 1 species
UACGGGGGGGGCAAGCGUUGUUCGGAAUUACUGGGCGUAAAGGGCUCGUAGGUGGCCAACUAAGUCAGACGUGAAAUCCCUCAGCUUAACUGGGGAACUGCGUCUGAUACUGGAUGGCUUGAGUUCGGGAGAGGGAUGCGGAAUUCCAGGUGUAGCGGUGAAAUGCGUAGAUAUCAAGAGGAACACCUGAGGUGAAGACGGGUUGCUGGGCUGACACUGACGCUGAGGCGCGAAAGCCAGGGGAGCAAACGGG